rnacentral:tRNA from 1 species
AAGGGUAUAGCUCAGUGGUAGAAGGCAUGCUUUGCAGGCAUGAGGUCCUGGGUUCAAUCCCCAGUACCUCCA